GAGGACAUGACCUACACCGAGGAACCAUUGCGGAUUCUGGACAGGAAAGAGCAAGUGUUGCGGAAUCGAACUAUUUCUUUGGUUAAAGUAUUGUGGAAUAAUCAUACUAUCAAUGAAGCAUCUUGGGAAUUCGAGGAAGAGAUGCGAGUAAAGUAUCCUCACUUGUUCGAAGGAAAUUAUUAUAGCUUGUAACGAAUUUCGAGGACGGAAUUCUUGUAAGGGGAGGAGGAUGUAAGGCCCAGUCUCUUCAUCAAAGUGGCCCGGAUCAGUGCGUGAAAAUGGCCCAGCCAUUUUAGCGUCUAGUGAGAGUCCCGAACGACGUCGUUUUUGAGGUGAGUGUUUUCUUCUUCAACUUCCGUUUCUUUCCUCAUUUUUCUGUUUCAGUUCCAGUUUCUCCCGCACCUCUCUCGCGCACGUCUCUCUUUUCUUUUCGGUUUCAUCUUUAUUUCCAAUUGUUGGCAUUAUUUUGAGGUUCCGAAUCCCAUGCCCUAGACUUCCUCAUUGUUUCGGUUUCUCUCUUGUGCUGCAUCUUAUUCCAGUGAGUUGCCGUCUACUGCAUCUCUGUUUCUCUCCAUUUUUACGUUUCUGUUCUUCCUCUGCAAGUCAGCGAGCAGUACCUCUCAUUCCUCCAUUUUUCGACUGUUUCUAUUUUGGCCGUGAGGUUUGGGUUGCGUUUGUGUGUCUGGGUGUUGUGCGUGGUGAGUCUUCAGUCCACUUUGUUUCACUUCUGUCCGCAUUGUGUUUAAUCUCCUUGCUGUGGCUUGGCAUUGAACUCUGUUGAGCGGGUAAGGACGCCGUGAACCAUACUGUUCAUGGUGACGAGACUAAUAGAGGUCAUUUUCAAGGCUUAGAUAAUACGCUACAAGAGUCAGAUGAUGUGGAGAGUCCAAAUAAGGACCUGGAUUAGAUUGGUGAACGUGUUUAAGUUGAGGAAAUGUGGUUAGAAGAAGGACUUCUGAUAUUCUUAAUUUUAAUGUCUUUGAGUUUUAAUUAUAUUUUCAGGUUUAGUAGGACCUAUGGUUUUAUCAGUUUGGUAUGCUACUAUUACCUGGAGAUUGUGGACCCUUUGAUAUUUUUUAUUAUUGCAUUUAAGAUUGUGUGGAGUUUGUAAUGAGAUUAUUGAGAAGAUAUGAGAUUGAUUUCAUUUAUGAAG